GAGAAACCAGGCGAUAAAACCCCAAUACUUCAGGCUUCAUCUGGAACCAGCACAUAAGCAAAUGAGGACUCACCAUCCUCCCUGCCCACAACACCCUCUCCCUGGGACCAGAGACGCACUACCUUCCUGAGGCUAGGCAUCCCCUCAUCCCGUCUCCCCUCAGGCUUCCUGGUACCUAUGAGGAGAGACCACAGGUCUGGCUGAGGAUACCUUCAAGGCACCCUAGGUCAGCCUGAGUUGACGACCGUGACCAUGACGCUCAAGAAACCAGGGCUCAGAGAGGUUAAGCCACUUGCCCAAGGCCCCCACCUGGACGGGACUCCUGCUUUAUAUAUAGGACGUAGGUCCUGGAUCAUUCGGGACUAUGACUUCAUGGCUGUACGUGGGUUACACCUCUGAUGAGGUAUCCGUCCUCCACGAUCCCUCAGCAGGGGUUGCCCCGCACACGAGGUAGGAUGGGCAGCUGCAGGUGCCCCCAAGGGAGAUGGGGGAGGGGCCGAGGGAGGGGCCCUGGAAUCAGUCCCAGCAUUCCCCAGGGCUGUGACUUCACGGAUCUGAAAGUGCUUGCACGGGUGUGCCGGGACCAUGGAGCCAGGCUGGGGGUGGGGUGGAGGCUCUCAGGGGAAAAGCCAGAGGGAGACGGUGAAUGGUGGGGGUAGGGGGGACCACGGGGCACUCACAAGAAGCCUGGAGGUGCUGGAUCCAAUCUGAGCAGGCAGGGCGGGCAGGUGGGGCGCUCCAGCUCUGUUUCCGGGGAGGCGCUUCACCUGCCUGACCUGCACCUGGGUGAGCUCAGGCGGGGGUGGGGGGUAGGGGGGGAGGAUCAACAGGUGUUUCCAAGGCAGGGCCUGAGACGAUUGGCUGACGUGGCGCUGCUCCUUCUGCUGGGCUGAGGCAUUCCUGGGAAGGGAGGGGCUUCUGUCCCUUGCUGUUAGGGCACGAAGACAAUUUCCAGACCCGGGCAGCAGUAGGAAUGUUGUCCAUCUGCCCCAGAGCCCGGACCCGAGCCCAUCCCCCAGCUCCAACCCAAUUUAGCUUUAGUUCCAGCCUUAAACCCAACCCCAGCCCCAGCUGCAGUUUCAAACCCUAACUAGAACUCCUAGCUCCAACCGAGGCCCCUACCCCACAUCUCAGCCCCAACCCUGAAUCUCAAAUCCCAACCCUGACCCCCCAGCCCCAUUUCUAAAUCCAAUUCCAGUCCCAGCCCGAGAUCCCAACCCCAAAUCUGGCUUGAAACCUCAGCUCCAAAUGCUGGAAUUAGAUCUUAGAUGGCAGCCUCAUCCUUGGCCCCAACCUUGACCCGUGUUCCUGAAUCCAGCCCCCAAAUCCCGACUCCAAGCUCAAAUCCUGCCUCAGCCCCACACUCCAACACCAGCUGGCCCCCAAGCCCCGCCCCAGUACCUCCAUCCCUUGGCGCUUUCCCCUGGGCCGGAGCCCCACAAGCCCCUUGCCCAUUCUCCUUCAAAGCCUCAAGGGCCUGACCAAGGGAGGUUUGCCCCACGUUUUGGCCCCCCUGAGGAGGCAGGAUUUGAGUGCACAGGGAGGAGGGGGUAAAGGCUUUUCAGGUGGGAAACAGGAGCUCCCUAGCUUAAAACACUUGCAGAAUAAACACUUCGGGAUAAAUGCCAUAUUCUUUUACAAGGCUCACAGAACCCCUGUUAUCCACCGCAGGCCAGUCAUUUGCCCCUGGCCCCUGCCCUCCAGCCGGAAUGCCUUUCAGUUAUGUAUGCUCUGCACUGCUCUGCCCUUCCGCUUGGUUUUUGAACUCAAGAGUUC